GAUGAAGAACGUAGCGAAAUGCGAUACGUAAUGUGAAUUGCAGAAUUCAGUGAAUCAUCGAGUCUUUGAACGCACAUUGCGCCCCCUGGUAUUCCGGGGGGCAUGCCUGUCCGAGCGUCAUUGCUGCCCUCAAGCACGGCUUGUGUGUUGGGCCCCGCCCCCCGGCUCCCGGGGGGCGGGCCCGAAAGGCAGCGGCGGCACCGCGUCCGGUCCUCGAGCGUAUGGGGCUUCGUCACCCGCUCCGUAGGCCCGGCCGGCGCCCGCCGGCGACCCCCCUCAAUCUUUUCAGGUUGACCUCGGAUCAGGUAGGGAUACCCGCUGAACUUAAGCAUAUCAAUAAGCGGAGG
rnacentral:misc_RNA from 1 species